AAAAAUAAACCCUUAGAAGUCUGCAUUUCUUAAAUUUUGAUAACUUUUUGCUGAUAUUGCAUAGCUAAAAUAUCUAAUAACUCAUGCCCAAAUGUCUCUUUCGAAAGAUGAUAUUUCUAUAAUUUUGAAGAUUGGUUAAUUUAUUUGGCAGAUUUGAACAUGCAUAGCAUCUAUUUUCUUCGAUACAAAAGAUAUUAAUCAACAAAUAACCUGAAAGUAAUAACGAUCAAAAGUUUAUAUCCAAAUAUGUAGUUUAUUUUGAAAAGAUGACUGGCUCCAAAAAUAUUAUUAGACACCUUAUUUAUAUAAUAUAAUCGACAUCUCGUUAUAACCGCGAAGUGUAUCAGCACAUUUAAAUUAAGAACGUGGUUCUGCCAGUCAAAGGCGGAUCUUAGUGCUUAAUAAUAAUUUCUUGAUGAAUUUAUAUACAUUUACAAGUUCUCUCAAACGCGCCGCAUGUUUUGGCGGACUUUAAUCGUAGCUGUUAAGUAGAACUAAAAAUGUAAUAUCACGAAAUUAAAUUGCUAAUCAAUUUUAUAAUUUUGAUGCCAAUUAAUUAGCAUUUCCAUCUCCCUCCCCUGCCUCGUCAUCCUGAAAAUUUUUUCUUAAUUAUUUUUUACUGGAAGGAUUUAAACGAAAGCUAAGCUGUAAAUUAUUCUUUGUUUCAAGAAUCCUUUAAAUUUAUAAUGUUAAUAAUCAAUAUGAAAUAAUACAGAUAAAAAGAAUUCUAGUUAAAUGGAAUAGAUGUAGGUGCCUAAUAAUUUUGGCUAAGGCUUUCUUUAAAUCUAAAAUUGUUAUAUACACUAUCUUUAUUAAUGAAGAAAAUUACUGCAAAGAAUAAACAAAUUUUGAAAAACCAUUUUCUUUCACAAAUUUGCAGUUGUUGGAAAAAUUAAGACAAAGGGCCGUUCUUAAGCAGUGUUAAAAACUAAAAAUUUUAAAUAUAUAUAUAUAUAUAUACAUUUGUUUAUUACCGUUGUGUUCCUUAAUGUUUAGCGUUUUAAUUAAAAAAAAAUUUAGUGCAAUAUAAUCACUUUCAUGAAAGUUAUAGGCAAUUUAAGUUGGUUGUGCUAUACUGAAUAUGUCAUUUCCGUGGUAAAAUAAAUAGUGUGUCGUUUUAAGAUUAAAUUUAAAUGUUAUUAAAACAUUUCACCCUGAAAUUAAUAGAAAAAUGCAAUUUUGAUAUUUAAUUACCUAAAGUUUCAGUUCACAAAAGACUCGCUUUGUUCUUCCUCAAUCAUUUACGACUCAAAAGUUUUCGACACUUUGACCUCUUAAAAUAAGAAAACUGACUCCAAAUUUACUAAAAAAGUUCUUUUAUAAAAGUAUCCUAUAAUUUUCCAUUUAUGUGCGUAAGUUCUGGUAUAACUUUUGACAUUUCUUUAUUAAUUAUCUUAAAAAGAGAAUUGACAAAGAAUUCACUCCCUGGAAAGUUAUUUAACAAUAGGCCUCGAAUGAAAUAUAGUUCAGUGGAUUCUCUGUAUCAUUGUAACAUGAGACUUACAAACAUUUAUACAGAAAAAACAUUGCUUCCGUGGUUAAACGAUCAAUGUCUCAAGGUGCGUCGCGAUUUCUCGACGCUAGCAUGUUUAGCAUCAAGGUCGAACGCGGAAAACGAACGCUAUUAGCGUAAAGAAAAAAAAUAUAUUAGCCUCGUAACGGAAGACGAUUUCUACGCCAAUGAGAUUGGCAAGGCUUCACACAUAGGGAAGACGGGGAUUAAUCCUGUUUACCUCGUGCAGAUUUAAGGUUUCUUAUGCAACUCUUCGUACCUACGCAUGCACAUAGUCGUCUAUAUGCCUAUGCACACACGCGAUCAUCAAAAUAAGUAUGUUCUUUCCAAGCCGUAUCUCAUGACAAUCCAACAAUCAGUCUCUUUCGCCCAAUCUCUAUUUAGCUCUCCAAUACUGCUUAGCACGUUAUAAUCAUGCGCAAGUUUACUAAAAGUACGUUGAAUUAUUUCGACAUUUCAAUAAUAAUUGCUAGUCCGUAUAUUCAGAGUAGCUUGAUUUAGAAAAUUCGAUGAUAAUGAGAACCAAAUCUGUUAUAAUUAAUGAUUCUUGUUGUAUUAUUUAUUGUUGUAUUAUUUACUCGUUAUAUUAUGUAUAUUAUCACAUAUUGCGAUAUAUUAAUUAUAUUAAUACAUAAUGCAUUAUUCAAAUGGAAAUUUUUAUCUAUUGACUAAAAAAACAGUUUUAUCGCUUUCUAACUCAUCGAGAUUUUCGAUUGCGUAUUUUGAUUAAAAGCUGUUACAUAGAAAAAUUGAUGGCAGAAGUCUUGCAACUAUAAACGAAUAAUAUUGAGUCUGACGAAAGCAAGUUCAUUACAGACUAUAUGCGAAAUGUCAUAAAUUCGUUACGCAAGACCGCAUAUACGGUACAAGAGCUUUACUUACGUCCUACGUCUUCUAUAAGUUACAUUAGAUAACACUUUACAUAUAGAUAAUGUAAAUGUCCCCAGUCCGAUAUUGUUCACUCUCGUGCGAUAAUUCAUAAUAGGUCAUCUAACGCUAACAUAACUGAUGACUUUUAUAGUCGAUGAACUUAUAACAUAUUUUCAGGCCGUUUAUAGCAUGCGCUUUAAAUUUUUUUCUGCAAUUUUUUUUCAAUAUUACAUGUUUUGCCUUUAACGGGGUAGUUCUAUUAAUAUGUUUGUUGACACAGGGAUCAAUACCAAAAAUUUAUCCAAAUAUUACAAAGAUGUGUGUUCGAGUAAUCUUAACACAAAUAUUACAAUGUACAUAGUUGAUAGAAAGAAUGCAUUGUCGAUAAUAUGAAUGAAAAUGUUUUAUAGAGCACCAUAUUGAGCUUUGGACAUACGUGAUUGAGCAAUGAAUGAGCUGUUUAAAUUUAGAUUCUUAGUAAUAUUAACCUUUUAGCUGCAAAAAGUUUUAUUUAAAAUUAAGUUAUCAACAAGUAAAAGAAAUGGAUUUACAAUUACAAUAUAUAGUGCUAAUUUAUUAUUUUGAUAUUAAUAAAUCAUUAGAAGUUUGAAAUAAUUAUUUGUUUGAAAUUUUACUCGAUCCAUACUAAAAAAUAUGUAUACACCGCUUGUAGCAAAAAGGUUAAUGAUUUUCUACUGCGAACAUGAUGAGGCUAUCAUUUAUCAUUAUAAAUAAAAAAAAAUGGAUGUUAAAACUCAAAGGAGGAACCGACAACGAGGCAACAGCUGACGAAACUAAAGGAAAAAGUAUAUCAUAAGCAAACCGUCUUAUGUUUCUGUCUUAUUUCAUUGUAAAUUUGUAAGAUGAAAUAUGACAUAAACUUAAGGUGGGUGCUUAUAUAAUCGACGAAUUCAACUAUACGAUGGAUGUUCGCCAAUCGUGGUAAGAAAAUAAUAGGAUUCCAGAAUUAUUGGAAUUGAAAAUUUUGAAACAAUGAAUGGAGCAAACAAUGCAUCCUACGUAUGCUUUAAAUCAUUAUAACGUUUAUAUAAUUGUUUAUCAUUAUGAAUAAUUGUCAUCAUAUUCAUUGUUCAUUUGCUACAACAACGAUAUAACUAAAAAAACUGUCAUUUUUUUAAUUGUCUAUAAAAAAAAAGAAUUAAAUACAGUGAAUUAAUAGCUAAUUAUACUUUUAUUCUUCUACAAUCAAUAGACCAAAUUAUUAUAUUAAUCAUGUUUAAAAGUAUUACAAAAUUUUAAAGAUUUAAAACUAGAAAUUUUGUUUUUUAAGUUACGUCGUUGCUGUAGCAAAUAAGCGAUACAAGUUGUAAUACCAAUGAAUCGUUUCCUAUGUUAAAUAAAUAAAAUAUACAACCGUCAUUUAACAAUUUUGUUUUACUUUAAUGUAAAAUUUUAAUGAACAAACAUUCACAUGUCUCAUAAAAAUCAUGAUUUUAAUUUUAAUAAUAAAAUUUCCAAAAUUCUCCUCUAAAGUUUAAUUUUUAAGUGUGACUUUAAUUUUAGUGAUAAAUUUUUGAAGAAUAUAUGAGAUUUCACUUUUUGCAAGUUAUGACAUUAAAUGCAAUGUUCAAUAAAUCACAAUACAAUCAGUGAGAUAUUGAUGAGAAUGUAUUGAUACAUUCCUCGUGAAAAGGGCGAUCAUUUGAUGAUCUUCACCACGUAAAAUUUUAAUGUGCAAAUAUUUCAUAUUGUAUAAUUUUAUAAAUUGUGAUUUUUAACGACAGUGUUUUAAAAAUUCUGCCCUAAAGUUCGUACGAUUUAAAUUUUAGUAGAAUGAGUUUCUGUAGAACAUAUGAGACGAUUUUAUUUUUUGUAAAUUACGAUAUUAAAUAUAAUGUUUAGUAAAUCACGGUAUAUAUCAGUGAGAUGAUUCCUCGUGAGAAAGACAGCUAUUUGAUGUUUUUCACUUUCAAAAAUGUCAGAAAAUUUUGUUUUUUGAAAGUUACGACAUUGAACGCAACUUUCAGUAAAUCACAUUUAGUACAAUCAGUGAGCACUGAUUUUCUUGUCAAAUGUAAGAAUAAGUUUCAAAAAUGAUAGAUCUGAAUAUUAAAAGAAUGCAUACCCGUUUGAAUAUGCAUUAAUAAUUUUAAUUUUAUAUUUUCAAUGUUUCUGUUAUGAAAUUUUGUAGAGACACGAGGUAGGUUAUUCAGAUCGCAAUUUGAACAUUGAUUGCGAAUAUGCACAAUGAACAAUGAAUUAUUCUACUAAUUUAUAGUUAACAGUUAUUACAGUUAUACCUAUUUCGAAUUUAAUAUCUAAAGAAUCAUUAUUAGAACUACAUAUUCCGAACAUGUUUUUCCCGAUGCAAUUCACAAAACCAUUCUUUUAGAUUAAAAUUUGUUCGUCUUCGACGUAACGAUUCUCAUUUAGAUCCUCAUCUUAAUUACUAAGCUGUAUGCAGAAUUUCAAAAUUCGAUCUGAGCAGACUAUCCUGAACAAUCUGUGGUAGCAUAGCGGAUUAUCGUCGAGUCGCAAAGCGACGGCAGCUAGCAACGCGUGGGCCGACAUCACUCCGAUCCAGGGUAACGCGAGCAGCAAAUAAGACAUAAGCCAAGAAGUUUGUAUCGUGGUAGAAUAACGGCACAAGUUUGCGAGUCGUCCGUGGCAAACAGCCAGGACCAGGUAGACGUGAAGCCUAAGGAGCCGGGGGAUGCUAAGCCGUGAAUCCUAAAAAGUGUCCGGAGCUUACUCGGCUAGUAUUACCCGCGCGACGUUCCUUUCUCACCUCGACGUUGUGUCCCCUUCGCGUGGAGGACGCACGACGUUCCCCUUUGACGUGCACAAGGGCGUAAAGUCGGCGUCCUAGUCAUUCGUUUUCCAUCAUGUUUUUUAUCCUCAUUGCGUCUCGUCCGUCUCUGUCCUGACAAAAUCUUGCUCGCUAAUCGAGUGCGUUUUCUCUAUCUCUAAAAUUGAAGUCAAGUUUAAGUUUUAAAGAUAAUGACGAUUCUGUCAAAAUAGAGAAAAGUUUGAAAUUAUUAUGUCGCAAAUUACGUCUGGCCUACGUUUUCUAAAAUGUGAAAAUUGUAAUUAGAUCGUGCAACAGAUGGUUCUCACGUUUCACUAAUUAAAUUAGCUCCAUGCAAGCCGUAAUGAAUUAAAUUAAACGAGAUGAGCUUAAUGGUUCAAGAUUUUUAUAUAAAUAUCUAUUUUUUAUAAUAAUUUUUUUAUAGAAAAACUGAUUAAAUAAGAAGUAGAAGGUAUUUUCGGAUUUUAUUUUAUUUUCGAUCUAUUCGUCAUGAAAAUCGUCAAAAUUUUUAUCAACUGCGUUUCCUAAACGAGAACUGCGCAGUAUGCUCCUAUUGCGCGCCGAAUAUAGCAAAAGCGGCCGAACUCUCUUGCUGUCUCUACCUCGCAUCGAUGUUCCUUGCGUUCGUUUCUGACCACGGAGAUUCUACCUCUCUGUACAGAUUCACGAAAAUUUUCGUCUAUUACGUAGCGAUCUGUAUUAACUGUAAGAUUCAUGAAAUACCGAUGAUAAUUUGCGGUCUUGAUCUCAUUACCUUGCGCGCGAAACGACAAGAUUUCUAGUAUAAUCUUUAUUAGUAUUUACUCAUUAUCGUGUAUUAUAGAAUUAUAAAAUAUUAUAUUAUAUAAUUAAAACGUUUCCUACAAAAACUAAGCAAGCCGUUUUUCGAAAAAGUCUGUGUUAUGGUGAGAAUUCGUUCUCUAUAAAUAGCGUCACAUUGCGAACAAUUUUGUCCCGACAGAAAUCAAACAGAAAACGGAAAAUAUACAUAUAAAUAAGUAGCAAAUAAAAAUUGCGCGAUAAACAAAUCCAGAGGUUUUUCUAGAUUUUUAAAAAGCGAUCUUUAAAAUGUUAAUCAAAGUCUAAAACUUUGUUCUUACACCUAUAAUACUAUAUGUUCAAAUAAAAAUUAUCAUAUUUACAAGAUAAAGGAUUUGAAGAGAAGUUUUAUCUUGAAAAUUUAACUUUCCGAACUUAUUUGGUUUUUGUGGGAAAUCCCAUUAUGUCGACUGAUAACAAUAUGUUUGAGUUUUAUUCAAAUCUUAACUUAAUAAUGACACGCGGGAAGAACAAAUUUACUGCAGCAUUUAAAAACCUAGCUAGAGACAGAUCAGAAAAUAAUUUUAUGUUGAGACAACAAAAUAAUUUCGUAGGACGCCCAAGCGUGAUAAUGACGCUGCAAACAGUUUUAACAUUCUAGCAACCACGUUAAACAUCCCACACAAUUUUUUAAACGGUACAACAUAAUUAUUUUUAGAUUAGUAUUUCAGCAAAAUUGUUCUUUCCGUGCACGUACGCGUUAAUAAACAUUUCUUGCGCAAAGUCAGCAAACUCGCAAUUUAUAAUAUAAUUGUAUAGCACGAUAAUAAUUUAAAAUGCACGUAAAAUGAUAUGUUAUUAUAUAAGCAUAAAGCAAAAGGUUUGUAGUAUACACAAAAAGAAUGAUUUUGUUAAAGUAUCUAAACUCAGUACAGAUCUAAAAAUAAUAUUGUCAGUCUAUCAAAACAAUUAUGUAGGGUGUUUAAACUGAUUGUUAGAAUGUCAAAACUUUUUGCAACUUUAUCAUCAUGCUUAAGCGUUUUACAUAAAUAUUUUCAUGGCCCAAAAAAUUAUUUUCAGAUCUGUAUCUGAAUCUGUAUCUGAUCCAAAUUUUUAGAUAUUUUAGCAAAACCGUUCUUUCCGUGCAUGGUUUUUUCACUAAGUGCAAUGCUUGCAAUUUCUUUCUGCAUUAUAUUUGUAUUGAUAAUCGAACGUACGUUUAUGUAGAAAAUAGGAAAUAAAGCUAAUAUUGUAUAAACCGCUGAUAUGACUCAGUAAAAUAACAUCAGAAAAAUUUAUAAUUAAUGACAGUUAAAUAAUCGCUUAUUGUCUGCACACAAAAUGAGUACAACACUCUUACCACGUGCUAUUUGUACAAUGCAUGUCGUAAAAGCGUUGUACUCAUUUUGUAAUGUGUAAGCAUGAAAAACGUAAACAUAGCGAAAUUACGUAAACAAAAGCGAAAGACAGAGUUUGGUCCCGAAGGACCACCAUGUAGCACAAAAUCAUCGGCGCUGUCUACGAAAAUAUCGUCGCGUGAUGAUCUUCACGAACGCGAGAACGCGCUAAAAGUUGCACAAAUUAGGUCAACCUAAUGCCGGAUCCCACUAUUUACCGAACGGAGUACUUGCUUCACGUCGGUAUGUAUGUGGGGUACGUUUUAGGGAUUCACCUCUUCACAAUAUCAUUAAAUACCACCACCACUACCAGCACCACCAGCUACCACUGGCUGUGACAAACGACAGCGUGACCAGGUCAGAGCCUAAACUCUUACGUAAGUUCAUAGGAGAGCUUUACGCAAUCAACAAAAGUACGACGCGAUUGUCCUUGAAAUAAAAGCAUAUGGAUCCAAGUCCCUUUCGCAAUGAGAAAGUAUUCUGUCCUGAAGACGAACCGGUUCUUAAUUAGCAAACAAUUAGAAUGUUUCUCCGUGAAAUGUACAUGAAGUCUGAGAAAUUGAAAUCGCGAUUGUAAUAUGUAUACAAAGGUAUAUUGAGAGGAAAAGUAUUUGGUAUUUGUGACUAUUUUUGAUUGUUAAAAUAAUUAUAGUUAAUAAUAUACAGUGUGCUAUGGCUGCAAUUACUGUAACGUAAAUAUAGUUGAUACUAAAAAUAAAUGUAAAUUAUAUAAACUUUUUAUUUUGAGUACCAACUAUAUUUAAAUUAUAAUAAUUGCAACUUUUUUUGUCAGUGUAACAUCCCAUACAGCACAAAAGAUUUCAGUAAUAUUGCACAAACAUUGAAAAUAUUACUGCAACAUUGCUGGAAUAUUCGAUACUGUAUGAGACAUUGUAUGUUAUAUUAUUACUGACAUUAUAGCAGUAUUAACUAUAAAAAUAAUGCUUCCAAUCAUAAUUAUUUUUAACAUUCAAUUAUCACUACAAAUAUCAAAUACUUUUCCCUUGUGUGUAACCACUAUGAACAUAUCCGACAGUUUUUAAGAAAGCAAUGUCUUUAGUGACAGACAAAGAUAAUUUCCUCGCUUUAAAUAUUUCGAGAAAUAACUCGAUAGGUACGAUUCGUCAAGAUUGAGGGCAAAGACGAUGAUCGGAUGUAUGGGUAGACCGCUGCCAUUCGAUCGGCCAACUUCAGCAAGGCAAAUACGAUUUUGUCCGUAAUUUCUGUGCCCUUAUUUCCAAAGAAACACGUGUCUUGCAGCCUUAAAGCAGAACGUCCAUUGGCCCCUCUCGUCUAAAGUCACUCUACCAUUGGUCGAUGGAUUAAAUGACCACGUGGUGUCGCGCUAUAUAACCAAGGGUGAACUGGGAAGGUAUCGGCAGUUGUGCUCGACCGAUGGUGGACGGAAGAAAUGCGAGCGUUUUCCGAUCGACUUUCGCGUGAAACACCCCCCUCGCGGAGUAGUUAGCAUCACGGCUACCCCGAGGGGAAUCCUCCGAUAGUGCAAUUUUUAAAGUUCCACGAUUUCUGUCCUCUUUCGUCGACUUCGCAACCUGAAGAAUAUAUUUCAACUACAGCACACCGCCGGGUCGCCAAGAAUUACUUUGGAAAAUAUUACCUACGACACCUUCCGACGAGGAGGAUAUCCACAUGUCACCAAGUGAAUAAAAAUACGAUGAUGAGUAGAGCAACGCGUCAUACAUCAGCUGGUGCCAUAGAUCUAUGGAUGUGUUCCAAUAUUCAUUCAGAAAAUCUAUCAUAUAUGUAACAUGAACUAUAGAUUUUUACUGGUGGCAGUGAAUAUUGGAACGCAACCUAGGUCGUUCUACGAAUUCUAGUCAUCGAUUUGAGAAUCUGUUUCAGAUUCUACAAUGUUUCUAUUUCGAUCUUCGAUCUCAACGAAGAAUACUUAAAAAUUGCUCAAAUUAUUUUAAUUUAGGAAGCUCCAAUAUAUGUCGUCUUUAGAAUAUCAUCGUGGUGUCGAUAAUUUUUGCCGACAUCGCCAAACAGCAAGUAGAUCGACUUUCCUAACGGGGUGGCAUUAAAUGAUGGAGAAUAGUUUUUAACGUAACGCUCCGCAGACGGCAGUAGGUCUAUCGUACAGCCGUGCACGGUUAAAAAGAUCGAAUGUGAUAAAUUUUAUAUUUGAGUGAAACUGUCCUAUCGGCCUAUAGAAUCGCCAGAUGUCCAGUCCCCACAGCUUACUUUUAUCGCGGAAACGCGUUUUUCAUUGAUAUUCUGUGUACCGUAUUACUUGCUUUUAAAUCUGGUCGAAAGUACUUUCUUUCGUACUCAUUCUUGAAAUUCGAACAUACCGUUGUAUACACGGGAAAAGUCAAACCAAUGAAAAAUUAACCCGAAUAUAUGUAUAAUACUUAAUAUUUUUAUGUAUACCAGUUUUAUAUAUUAAUAAAUUUAAAUUAAAUAUUAAUUUAAAAUGUUUUGUAAGCAACAUAAAUAAUUAGAAAUCAUUUUUAGAAGACUAUUUUCUUACUUAUCGAAAUUGUAAAUGGAUGUGAUAGAAGAAGAAAAGUAUUUUAACGUUAUUGCAAAAAUAGUUGCACUUUCAUAUAUUUCAUUUAUUCAUCCGUAACUCUUAUAUGUAUCCUUGACUAUUAUGCCUUAAUCUUUCUGACGGUUACACAUGAUGACGAGAAUGACAGUUUAAACUGACCUUAAAUAAGAUCGAAAGGUCUCAAACGUGUCAAAUGCCAAAUCGAAAAUGUCUAGCUAUAAUGGUGUUAUUAUACAUAUAUUACAAUAAGAUAUCUAUUCAAAUAUUUUAAAUGACCUAUAUCUGUUUAGAUACACGAAGGAAUUUAUUAUACAAGUCCGCAUUUAUCCAAUUUUAUUAAAAAUGAUUGUGUUUCGAUGAUUUUCUGGAAGAUACAUAACUUUAUAUAUUGAAGUACGAAUUAUAUGUAUCAAGUAAAAACUAAAAUACAAUACAUUAACCAAAUUCUAAAUUAUUUCGUUCAUAAAGAAGAAUAUGAAACACAUUUUAUUAUUUCUCAAAGAUUAUAAAAAGACAUUUACAUGAAAACUAAAGUUAUAACAAAUAAUAAAUCUUGGAAAUCUUGUCUGCUUUACCGUUUAUUUAACAAAUGUAGGUCAUAAUGUUAGUUAAAAGUGUGAUUUUCUCUAUUUGAACAUUAUUGCCGAUAGAGCGAAGGUAGUCAUUUAUUAGCUAUUUUGUGUCUCCGCGUUUCUUCAUAAAGGAUAUAUCAAGGAUAAUGUACGAAUUGCGCGAAACAUCUCGUACAAGUCUAGGCACGUGGACCAUGUUAGUCCAAUUGAGCGGAACUGACUAGAAUACCGUAAGAUGAAAUACGGGGCAAUAUAUUGGACCCCAAUGCAGCUGCUGGCCACUGCACAAGAUUAGAAAUAACACUCUUGUGCGUGUGACAGCGACUAUCAUGGGGCUUCCAUGAUACAUCACGCUUCGACGCUGGAAACCAUCACGAAGAUGAGUGGAAGCCCCGUAUAAAAAGACAUGUAAAAAUUGAAUGUUAUAGAAUUAUUAUUACAUAAUUAUUAUAUUAAUACAAGUUAUUAUAACAAUUAUUUGUUAAAGAUAUAUAUUAUUUGUUAUUCUUUGGAAUUAUCAGGAUAUAAUGAUUCUGUGGAUGAAGCAACACGAAAGUAAAAGUUAAGUAAAUGUAGAAGGGAAAUGUAGAAGUAAAUGUAGAAGGAAAGCGGCCAAAUUACAAGCAACAACUAGAUGGUGUAGUUUUCUGUAAACAAUUUAUUUUCCUUUAAUAUUGCACUAGUACGUUUCGACAAUACUUAUUAUUAGUCAUCAGAUAGUGGAAAUAAUUGACUAUUAUUUCAAAUGCAUAUGGACCAGACGAAAUUCUUGCCACUGAUCGAUAAACUUAUCAAUAUUUUCACACGUGGACAGACAACGAACAAACUAUACAAAAGAAUAAUAACUUUAUUGUUAAAAGUUGAGUGUUGUCUCGCAUUGAUAUGGGCUCUAAUAAUAGUGAAGGAGAAUAAAUUGUUUAAAAAAACUACACCAUCUAGAUAUUGCUUGUAAUUAUAUCGCUUCUCUUCCGCAUUUUAUAUUUGAUUAUUAUCGAGCAAUUUUACAAAAAAAUUUCUAAAUUAAACGGAGUUAAAAACUUUUUUUAAUUUAUCACAUUAUUGUAUGCCAUAAAAUAUCGAAUAAACUUUUGUGUUCUAUAUUUUUACAAUAUCUUUUAUAGUCUCUUAUAAUUAUUACGAGAAAUAUGGAUAUCAAUUUUUUUCAAAAAAUGUUUUUGUUGUUAAAACCAGUUAUUAGUUAAGGCAAUAAAAUGCUAUGUGAUUAGGUUCACAUCUAUUUUCUUACCAAACCAUCUUUAUGAGUUCAAGAAGAAGAAAUAAAGUUUGAAGAUUUUACAAAGGCUAAGAAGAUACUUAAAUAAACAAAAUUUGUUAUUUUAUAUUUUAAAAUAAUAUGUAGAUAUCUACAUGAAAAAUAUAUUUACCUAUAAUCUCAAUAUAAAAUUUAAAAUUUUAAUUUUUUAGAUAUUGUAAUAGCACUAGUAGUUAACAAGGAUAAGUAUAGUAAUAUAUUGUAAUGUUAUAUAUAUAUAUAUAUAUAUAUAUAUACAUUACCAUGGCAAUUUAACUUUGUAAAUACUUAAUAAUUAUUAGGAAAGGACUUCUAAUUCUUUGCAGUAUUUUAUACCGUAUAUUUUGAUGUAUGUGUAUAUUUUAAUAUUUAUAUUUUAUAUAUGUAUAUACAUUCUCUGAUUCUUCAAAUGCUUUUCUGUUACGCUUGAUACAUAAAAUCGAAUUCUAUUCUUAUAUCUGAUACAAAUUACAUAUACAUAUAAUAUAUACAAGAUGGCCUAUUUUAAAUAACAUAAGCAAACAUCUCAAAAAAUUUUAUUGACUUUUUAAUAAUUCUAAUAUUUUUAUAUGCAGAAUAACUAGACCAAUCAUAUUAUGUAUAAAAGAUUAUAUAAACUUUUUUAUUUUAUUUCCAUUUUAGAAAAUGGCAGUAACUUUAAAACAUCAAUUUUAUCGAAAAUUAAUUUGCCAUUGUUUAUCUCCUUCUAGAAUAUAUAACUUUUGUCUGAAGCUUCUUUCGCGUCUGCUCUAUUUUUCGAGAUAUUUGCUUUAUCAUUUGAGAUGAACCACUCUUAUAUGUGAUAUAAUGUUUAUAAAAUUUAUUACCUCAAAAUUAAAAUAAAAAUUAAUUAAGACUCACCCACCACAAGAUGCACAGCAGCGGAAUUGUAACAUUAUUAUCAAUCUGAAACACAAACAUACAAAUAUUAUAUUCAAAGGAAAUUAGUGUCCAAAAUAAUUAACAUUUUACAAAUAAUAUUGGGCAAAUUUUAUUUUUUAUCUCUUAAAAGAGUACCUCACCUAGGACAAAAAAAUUAGGGAGAACUUUGAGAAAUUUUUUUCUUUCAUAAAAAUUAAUUUUAAGUAAAUAUUAUUGUAUACAUCUAAAAGUAUAUAUUUUUAUCUAUAAUUUCUGUAAUUUUUAUUACAAAAUUCCUACAAUUAAAAACAUGACACUAAUGUUCGUGAUAUGAUUUUUCUACAAUAGUUUCUACUGUAUAACCAUUGUAAUUUUGUAUAUUAUUUGGAACAAAAAAAAACUGUUUCCUAAAAAAGAUAAACAAAA